rnacentral:tRNA from 1 species
UCCCCUGUAGCUCAGUUGGUAGAGCGACUGACUGUGGAUCAGGUUGUCGGAGGUUCGAGCCCUCCCGGGGGAGCCA